rnacentral:lncRNA from 1 species
AAUUUCUCACAAAGCCCUUAAAAAUAAAACUUUCAUUAAAAUACCCUUCAGAGCUCAGAAAUACUUGCAAACACAUCAAAGGUCAUAAGAGUUCUAAUAAUCCAUCAGUUAAACUGCUGUGAUUUUUUUGUGUCUGUUCUUCUAUGUUCAUAUUAUCUUUCACAAUAUGAAUGAGUAACCUUAUAAAAACGUCCUGUAUGAAUUGUGGGGUUCUGUGCCCUGUCAGAUUCUGUGAUAAUCUGGGGAAGUCCUCUGGUACCUGCAUAUACCCCGAGCUGAGCUCUCACUCACACACUGCAGCCAGCCUGUGCGGCGAACCCAGCCUGGUGCUCUUGGAGACAGGGAGAUGCAAGAAGGUCAUAUGCCGGGGAUUUGGAGCUGGUGAAAAAAAAAAUGUGGAAGAAAAAAAAAAAGGCAUCUCGAGAGGAUGA